rnacentral:lncRNA from 1 species
GAUACAUGUAGAGGUGAAGCCGAAUUCUGCAAACGCUAAUAAAUAAAUAAACAGCUGCGUCUGACACUGAGUUUGGCACCACCGGGGCUCAACUGAACUUCAGCCACUGUUGGUUUACCCAGACGAGAAAUUGAGGCACUGGGAGUGAAGCGAUGUCCCCAAGGUCACACAAUAGAGCAGAGGCAGCCAGCCUGGCCCCAGCCAUGGGUACCAUGUGCGCAGGCUUCCACCUACCAUCCGCCUUCCUGCCUCAUUUUGUACCUGCUAGCGGGUUACCUUCCACCAUCCCUGUGUCUUGCAGCUUUCUCAAAUCUAACCACACCGUCCCUGCGACCUGCCACACCAGGGAAGAAUAAAACCAGAAUGCAAGAAACUUAGGAAAACUUUUGCAGUGUGCCCAUGACCAUGCAUGAUUCCUCUGUCCCCUUGGAGUCUGACAACAAAAUUGAACGUGACGGGUGCCUGGAAGAAUCCUUCUGUGGAGACAGAGGUGGCAUUGGUGUUUCUUUGGUAGCAGACAAUUUGCCAGCUCCCUUUCAUCCCUCUCUGAACUAGCAACGCCUGUAAGUAUGUCAUCCCACUCUUCCUCUUAAUUCUCCAUUCAGAAAUCGCAAGUGAAUGUCGGAUGUCAGCCAGAUCCAGCAGAGCCAUCCCAGUUCACAUCAGCUGGUGCUCUGGCCCUGUGUUUGUGCACGCUGCUGGAUCGACGCUGCCGGGACGGGAAUUCCCUUGGUACAUGAGCUCGCAGCAAACCGUGGACUCUGGAAGUGGUGAUCAUUUGUCACAUCAGCCCUGCUGAGGAGGAAUCCGUCUCUCACAACUCAGAAAACCCUUUGCUCUCUGUUGGCAUCGAAUUCUCCCGGUGUCACACGCAGUUGCACCUCCAGGAGGUGUAAUUGCCGAGUCUGUUUAGAAGUCAAAAGCAAAACUCUGGCAAAUGCGGGUUCUGAUUCACACUGUAUUACACGAAAGGCUGUGAGGUGGAAGCUGAUUUCAGCUUCAUCUCUGAUCCGUUCCUCUGAUAGGGGUUUAUGCUCAGUAUGGCUUCGGUUAAAUCAGUCAGUGCUUACCUCGCUGAACAGUUUUCCAUCUCUUUUGACCAAAGCAUGCCUUACCUUCAAUGUGGGCUGAAACGAUGCUGGACAAGAAUUUAAAAACAAAAUAUGGGAAGCUCUUCAGGCCAUUCUUUUUUGGGGAUGCACACUGUUGUCUUGUACAAAAACUAAUCCCGACACAGCUUUCUUUCUAUUAAUCAUGUCAGAAUAGCUGCCAGAGAGGGACAGCUCUUAGCCAGCACCACCCUACCAGCAUUCAAAGAUCUGAACUGUUUUAGCAACCUCCAUGUGGAGGGGUUAAAAGCACAUUAAAAAUACUUUGAGAUGCCCUGUCCUAGUACUUGCAUUAAAAGUCUUAAGAAGUUUAAAAUCAUAAAGCAAGAGAAAAGGAAGCGUAUUUGAUAGUUUAAAACUGUACCCUACCCUGCUGAAUAAUCAAAGCUGAUAUUGAACAGGACAUGUAGGUUAAUUUUAUAGAAUUAUGGUCCUUUGGUUGGUUGGUGUUUCUAAGAAAGGAGGACAUAUUUCUGUAGGGGGAUUAUAACCUGGGGAAAACACUUUCGAUUACUUAGUGUGUGUGCUGAAUUAAUUUAUUUUUAUAUUAUAGAGCAACAAUUUUAAGAACCCAUCUUUUCUAAUAAAAUG